rnacentral:SRP_RNA from 15 species
GCUGUCGAGCAGCGAGAACAGCGUGGGGCUGGCUUCGCCGCGCAGCGUCUGCACCAGCUCCAGGUUGCG